GACGAACGCUGGCGGCGCGCCUAACACAUGCAAGUCGAACGAGCGAGAGAGAGCUUGCUUUCUCGAGCGAGUGGCGAACGGGUGAGUAACGCGUGAGGAAUCUGCCUCAAAGAGGGGGACAACAGUUGGAAACGACUGCUAAUACCGCAUAAGCCCACGGUGCCGCAUGGCACAGAGGGAAAAGGAGUAAUCCGCUUUGAGAUGGCCUCGCGUCCGAUUAGCUAGUUGGUGAGGUAACGGCCCACCAAGGCGACGAUCGGUAGCCGGACUGAGAGGUUGAACGGCCACAUUGGGACUGAGACACGGCCCAGACUCCUACGGGAGGCAGCAGUGGGGAAUAUUGCACAAUGGGGGAAACCCUGAUGCAGCGACGCCGCGUGGAGGAAGAAGGUCUUCGGGAUUGUAAACUCCUGUUGUUGGGGGAAAGAUAAUGACGGUACCCAACAAGGAAGUGACGGCUAACUACGUG
rnacentral:rRNA from 1 species